rnacentral:rRNA from 1 species
CCUACGGGUGGCAGCAGUGAGGAAUAUUGGUCAAUGGACGAGAGUCUGAACCAGCCAAGUAGCGUGAAGGAUGACUGCCCUAUGGGUUGUAAACUUCUUUUAUAUGGGAAUAAAACGUUCCACGUGUGGGAUUUUGUAUGUACCAUAUGAAUAAGGAUCGGCUAACUCCGUGCCAGCAGCCGCGGUAAUACGGAGGAUCCGAGCGUUAUCCGGAUUUAUUGGGUUUAAAGGGAGCGUAGGUGGAUUGUUAAGUCAGUUGUGAAAGUUUGCGGCUCAACCGUAAAAUUGCAGUUGAAACUGGCAGUCUUGAGUACAGUAGAGGUGGGCGGAAGUCGGGGUGUAGCGGUGAAAUGCUUAGAUAUCACGAAGAACUCCGAUUGCGAAGGCAGUUCACUGGACUGCAACUGACACUGAGGCUCGAAAGUGUGGGUAUCAAACAGGAGUAGAUACCCCGUAGUC